UGUGCGAAGGAUCAUUCUCUAUUAAUCUCUAUACAUUUACUUUGAUGAGGCCAGCGGUGGAAGAAGUACUCAGGUCACUUACUUAAGCAAAGAUAACAAUACAACUGUGUAUAAUUGUGCUUAAUCGCAGUACUUCAGUAACUGUUCAGUAACCACCUCAAUUAUUGUUUUACCACAUACGGGGGAGCAAAGUCGAAUGACAUUUUACCAAAAGCGACGUCCUCAAUAUCAAAAAAGUUACUGCACUUUUUCCAAAAUAUAUCACUCAGUAAUCCACAUGGCCGCGAACCUUGAUUUUAAAAUCUAUGAACUGUUCUUCUAUAAGUGGAUCUGCGCGUGCUGGAUGACGGCUGUGUGACCUGAUGCAACCCUUUGCAAUGUACGUUUUUUCACAGCAGACAUUUGGACUCCUUGAGCUCCUUCAACAAGUGUAACAUGUAAUGUUUGUUCAAACAUUUUCUGUCUACAACAAACCAAAAUGUUGCUUUUGACUGCCGCAGAAAAUCGGAUAGUUGUAAGUCGUUGUUAUAGAAGACAUCUUAUAGGAAUUUAUCAUCUCCAGAUUCAGGUGAGGAACCUAAUGCUAGAAGGUUUUAUCCACACCACAUGGUAUUUACUGCUUUUCUAACAAAACCGACCACCAAGUCAGCCUGAGCUGAAUAAAGUGGAAACAGGAGCAGGUCUACGUGUCCUGUGAAUAUGGGAUGGAUGUAUUUUUUAUGCCUUUAAAUACACUAUGAUUAGUCAGUCACUUGUAAUGCAAUCACAGUUUUCCCCAAAUAAAAUGUCUCAGAGAUUUCUCCAUUCCUUAAAACACUCCAUUUCAAAAUACAUCAUUUGCUACUAAAGAUUUGGCUACUAUAAUCUCACUUUUAGAUAUACAUUUUUUUUAUAUAGGGCAACUUAACUACUUCAAUAUAUUUAGAAUGCAUAUCUGGUGUUACCAGUUUUAAUGAAAUUAGAUUAAAUAAAUGAAAUGCAGAUAAUGCUAAACUCAUUCAUUGCAUUGCAGGGAGUCCACUGCAGUAUAUUUUAGUCAUUGCUGGAGUAGCUGCUGGCAAAUAAUUCAGUUGUUAAGAACUGUGCGGCCUAUUUGACCACACAAAGAAAUGUUUCUCUUGUGUUGCUAAAUGAGGGAUUUCUUUGAGUCGAAGCUUUAAAGGGGCUCUCGUCCUUCAUUAUUCAUGUUAAUUAAUGCACCAGAAUCUCCGACUAAUGCAAUUUUUGAAUAUGUAAGUGUGUCUUGGUCCGGAGUAAUGAGAUAUGCCAAUAAUAAUAUGCAAAUCGGAGAAUUAUUGAAUAGGCAAGACUGGGGAUUUCUUAUUAGUUUGUAUGUUUAUCUCACAAAAUCCAUCAAUUUUUCAGAGCUUCUUGUGCCUCAUCCAAUAGGUAAAUCUAAUCAAACACUGAAAUCAAUAAUUCAGCUGUUUGUGUGCUGCUCUUGUGUGCGUCUGUGUGUGUAGUACAGUAGAUUACAGUCUCCAAACUUUGUGGGCACCGAUUCCACUGUAAUGAACUCACGACUGAUGUGAAAUCAAUACGGUUCAUCAACCACUCGCGGCUUCGUUUGGAUCACUCGUCAUCAGCUGUUGCAAGAAUUCUGAAACCCUAUUGAAGCAGAUGGAAGCGGCAGUGAAUGUAGAUUGUGUGUGAUAUAUUGCAGCCAAUGUGGCAAUUCGGUAAAAAAAAAAAAUUAAAAAGCUGUUCUAAAUGUAUUUUUUUCCGUCUUCUUCCUCAUCGUCUUCUUCGUCUCCGUUCCCCUGCCUCAUUUGCAAUGAUUGCGUUAUCAGGGCAGCCAGGCAAAAGGGUGGAGCAACCAUAAUUUCAGCGCGGGAUUAGGCAGAAAUAACGAGGUCACCAAGUUACAGUUGCCAUGGCAACCACACAUCCAAGAACACAGGAUGCCAUUGCUUAAAAAAAAAAAAAAAAAAAAAAACGAAAAUACAGAAGAAAAGGGGCCCAAGGAUUUUUUUUCCUCUCCCUCCCUCUCUGGCUGUUUUUUUAAUACCCCUCCCUCUCCAUCUUCCUCUCUCUCUCUUUCUCUCAUCCUCUCCUAUUCCCUGCCUCGUUUUUUUUUUUUUGAGUAGCAGAGGGGAGCAGUUCACUUUCAGUCCUUCUAUUUUCCAAAGCCUUUUGUUUCUGAAACAUAUUCAGGAUUGCAAAUUCACUGUUGAGUACAUUUACAUCUUUGUUCUUUUCAUAUUUGGUGGGAGGUCUCUCCAUGUUGACCAGACUUCUUUAAAGCUUAUUAGAGGACACCCCCCCCCCACACCCCCUCUUACCUACCAUAGUCUUUAAAAAACAAACCUCUUGAGUGCUCCACAUUCUUUUCUUUUAGCAGAUUUUUGUUUUGGGGGUAAAUCUAUGUGAGGUGAUCGAAGUCAGGAAAAUAAGAAAGCUCCUUUUUGAGGGGAAUCAAUGCAUGUGGUGCCUGCUCUGAGCAUUGAUUUGGAUUGAAGUUUGCCAGAAGCUCGGGGCUUCCUUUCAAACAGAUAUCCAUUCCCAUGUUACACCUGGCUGCUGGUGAGACCAGAGCAAGCCGACUGAACGCAUGCAAAGUCCAGAUGGAGUCGGCAGCCAGUCCAGCCCGGUCAUUUCGAUGCGCUAUUGAUUGUCUUUGGGAUGAUGCCAAUUAAACGAAGCCUGAAGCUUUCUGGUUUGUAGGAUACUCGGUGAACCCUGCAAGGUAAACACCGGGGAUGAAUUCAGCUGUGCAGCGUGAUGUGUGCGUCCGGCUCGGUGACAGUGAACCACAGUGGACGUAAGGUACAAUUUAACACGUCUUCGCUUUAGUGCAUCGUACCGACUCACAACCAUAUAAAGACUUCAUACACUGUCUAUGUGUGCACGCAGUAUUUAAGUCAUUAAUGUCAGUGAAAGUAGCACAAACGUAUAUUAGUAUUAUUAUAAAUUCAAAAUGUACCGUAUUUUCCGCACUAUAAGGCGCACUUAAAAGAGAUACGGAGCUGCUUUCAGGGCGCGUCGGAGAAACAAAGCUGUCGUUCUCGCAGAGCACUUCAUGAGAUUAUAGAGCGAGAGACGGCGCCCUUUUCUCUACAGUAGCUGAACCAUCUUAACGGGGAAAAUAAGUUAUUCUAAAAGGAGCCCGUGGCAGGCGGCGCGGCUGGAGAGCAGCCCAAGAUUUAAGGCGUGGAUGGCGAGGGGGGCGGCGGGAGCGGACGCUCCUCGCAGCAUCGAUCGGACCCUGAAAGCACCGUCUCCACCUCCCCACAUCCCCCCCCCCCAUCCACCCGCCCCGACGCCAAACGUUUGACUGCAGUAUCUGAUGCGCCUUAUAAUCCGGUGCGCCCUAUAUACGAAAAAUGUUCUAAAAUAGGUCGUUCAUUGAAGGUGCGCCUUAUAGUGCGGAAAAUACGGUACAAAAAAUAUUUUCCGACAAAUAUAUACAUAUACAUACAUUACAUAUACAGUAUAAACAGUAUUUUAUUGUAUUACUAGCUAGCAUUUCAGCGCUAUUUGGGAAAUGUGGACAAAUUCAACGCUAGCGCUGCUUGCAGCUAACAGUGCUAACAGCGGUAAUAGUGCUACCUACGCCAAGACUGCUAACAAGGCUAACAGCUUUUGCCAGAGGGCGGGGGUACACAUGGUUGGUUCCUUAAAGAGAGCGUGUUGUCUACAAUAAGCUUUUACAAACCUCCGUUCAUGUAUUUUGUGUUUCUGACCACAACUGACUGGGGCUAAGGGCACCAGAGCAAACCCAACUUGCUUUAGUUUUCACCGUUUCUCCAGCUGGGAAUGUUGGUAUGGACGCGGGAUCUUCAGUGAAAGGGCCCCAGGCGCAGGUUGCCUCUGGUGAAGUUUUCCCUUGGUGUUUUUUAUCUGAACCAGAAUAUAUUUGACUGGUGUCUCUGACCUUGAGUAGCCGUGUGUCAUGCUUGGUGUAUUUCCGAGGACCUCUCUGAGUUUUGCCCGUUCUGAACAGACGCGUUUUCGAGGGGCAUUGCUCUAUUACUUCAAAUGAGCGGAAAUAAACAUUGUCCUUCUUCGUUCUAAAACAUAAACACUACAUGAACACACACACAAGCCUGUGGCCAAUUUACAGGCUUUUACAUAUCUGAGUUCACCUGAUCUGCAUGUUUUUCCACUGUGGGAGGAAUCUGAAGCACGUCGGGAACAUAAGAAGUGUACACAGAAAAGAUAUUUGUACACACACUAGAGAAGGUUUUUUCCAAAGUGCAUCAUGUUCACCCACAGCUCUCAGUAAAAACAGUUAUGAUCUAAACAAUACAUGUGCAAACAUGGGCAGGAUUCAGAAAUAAAUGGUUAGAAAUUGACUCAUUAUCUCGAUGAUGGAGAUUCCCCACUUUUAACUUAUCGAUUCAUCUAUAUUUCAUUUUUUAUUGUGAUUUGAGAUUUAAAAAGGCCCCUCUUGUUUAGGAUGCAGUAUAUAAUCCCCGAGUCUCUCUCCAGUGGUCCAGUAGCAGACCCAAACACGACUUCAGUACACACCAACCCAUUUAAAAAAGAAAUAUAUGAAAGCCAAAUCUUCAAAGUUAAAAAUCUCAUCAAAUUAAUAAAAGAUGACCUUGUGCAGUGAUUGAGCCCUGAGUUGGCUCACUGGGACCACCGCAGACCACCACAGCUGCUCCCUGCCUCCGAUCCGGCUCCUUUAAACACUGUAUUUAUUCAGCGCUGAAGCCAUAAACUUUUCCCUCCCCUCUGACUCUUUGUUUUCUCUUCUUUCUCCAGCGGUUUAAAAUUCAUCCUUGAUAAUAGUAGCGGCUUUAAACACAUGCAUGGAUUUGAUUUGAACUGCGGCGUGGUUUUCUGUUUUUGUGUGAAUAGCAGAGGAAGAUUCAUUGUGUUUGGAUUCUGGAAAAUUCUCCUCUGCCUCACAUCAGGUAGCAUAGCGAGAUGGGCUGUGUGCGCGUGCAUGUUUGUGUUUGUUAGUGUGUAUAUGUGUGUGUGCUCUGUAUGCAUGUGUAUUUGUCUGUAGGUGUGUCCAUGAGCACGCUCGCAUGUGUGUCUGUCUGUGUGUG
ensembl:lncRNA